CUGACUGCUAUCGGAUGAUACUAAGCCAUGCGAGUCUUUGCAGUAUGCAAGGCAUACGGCUCAGUAACACGUAGUCAACUACCCUAUGGACGAGAAUAAUCUCGGGAAACUGAGCAUAAUUCUUGAUAGAUCAUAAUGCCUGGAAUGGUUUAUGGUUAAAAUGAUUCGUCGCCAUAGGAUGGGACUGCGGCCUAUCAGCUUGUUGGUGAGGUAAUGGCCCACCAAGGCGAUUACAGGUACGGGCUCUGAGAGGAGAAGCCCGGAGAUGGGUACUGAGACACGGACCCAGGCCCUAUGGGGCGCAGCAGGCGAGAAAACUUUGCAAUGUGCGAAAGCACGACAAGGUUAAUCCGAGUGAUUUCUGCUAAAGAAAUCUUUUGCCAGUCAUAAAACCACUGGUGAAUAAGGGGUGGGCAAGUUCUGGUGUCAGCCGCCGCGGUAAAACCAGCACCUCAAGUGGUCAGGAUGAUUAUUGGGCCUAAAGCAUCCGUAGCCGGCUUUGUAAGUUUUCGGUUAAAUCCAUGUGCUCAACGCAUGGGCUGCCGAAAAUACUGCAUGGCUAGGGAGUGGGAGAGGUAGACGGUACUCAGUAGGAAGGGGUAAAAUCCUUUGAUCUAUUGAUGACCACCUGUGGCGAAGGCGGUCUACCAGAACACGUUCGACGGUGAGGGAUGAAAGCUGGGGGAGCAAACCGGAUUAGAUACCCGGGUAGUCCCAGCUGUAAACGAUGCAGACUCGAUGAUGCAUUGGCAUAAUAGCCAGUGCAGUGUCGCAGGGAAGCCGUUAAGUCUGCCGCCUGGGAAGUACGUACGCAAGUAUGAAACUUAAAGGAUUGGCGGGGGAGCACCACAAGGGUGAAGCCUGCGGUUCAAUUGGA
rnacentral:rRNA from 1 species